rnacentral:rRNA from 1 species
GCGGUGGAGUAUGUGGUUUAAUUCGAUGCAACGCGAAGAACCUUACCUGGUCUUGACAUCCCGGAGACCCUUAGGAAACUAGGGGGUGCUUCCAUCUGGAAGAAUCUGGAGACAGGUGCUGCAUGGCUGUCGUCAGCUCGUGUCGUGAGAUGUUGGGUUAAGUCCCGCAACGAGCGCAACCCUUGCCUUUAGUUGCCAGCAGUUCGGCUGGGCACUCUAAAGGGACUGCCGGUGUUAAACCGGAGGAAGGUGGGGAUGACGUCAAGUCCUCAUGGCCUUUAUGACCAGGGCUGCACACGUACUACAAUGGCCGAUACAAAGGGCAGCGACACUGCGAGGUGAAGCCAAUCCCGUAAAAUCGGUCUCAGUCCGGAUUGGAGUCUGCAACUCGACUCCAUGAAGUUGGAAUCGCUAGUAAUCGUGGAUCAGCAUGCCACGGUGAAUACGUUCCCGGGCCUU